UUUGAAAAAAUUGAUGAGAUUAUGGGAAAGACUGGAAGCAUGGUAUCUGUUUCAGAACUUUAUAAACCACCUACUAACUCUACUUUAAAUGAGAAAAAUCCUGACUCUCCUACAAUAAGCAGUGAUACGGCAAUGGAAUCUGAUGACGAUUUAAUAAACAUAUCUAUUAUUCCUGAAAAUUCAAAUAAGAACACCUGCAAGAAAAAAAAGAAAAAAUUCCAGAUUGGGCUCAAGAAUUGCUUGAUAUUCAAAAGAAAAUAAGCGUAGGACUGAUGCCCUUUUGCACUUAACAAAAUCAUUAAUCUAUAUAUAUAAAAUUGAAUGUAUGUCUGUC
rnacentral:lncRNA from 1 species